rnacentral:rRNA from 1 species
AACGAACGCUGGCGGCAUGCCUAACACAUGCAAGUCGAACGAGAUCUUCGGGUCUAGUGGCGCACGGGUGCGUAACGCGUGGGAAUCUGCCCUUUGGUUCGGAAUAACAGUUGGAAACGACUGCUAAUACCGGACGAUGACGAAAGUCCAAAGAUUUAUCGCAGGAGGAUGAGCCCGCGUAGGAUUAGCUAGUUGGUGUGGUAAAGGCGCACCAAGGCGACGAUCCUUAGCUGGUCUGAGAGGAUGAUCAGCCACACUGGGACUGAGACACGGCCCAGACUCCUACGGGAGGCAGCAGUGGGGAAUAUUGGACAAUGGGCGAAAGCCUGAUCCAGCAAUGCCGCGUGAGUGAUGAAGGCCUUAGGGUUGUAAAGCUCUUUUACCCGGGAUGAUAAUGACAGUACCGGGAGAAUAAGCUCCGGCUAACUCCGUGCCAGCCGCCGCAGUAA